CUGGCGGCAGGCCUAACACAUGCAAGUCGAGCGGAAACGAAGAGGAAGCUUGCUCCUUUGGCGUCGAGCGGCGGACGGGUGAGUAAUGCUUGGGAAUGUGCCUUAUGGUGGGGGACAACAGUUGGAAACGACUGCUAAUACCGCAUAAUGUCUUCGGACCAAAGUGGGGCACCUUCGGGCCUCACGCCAUAAGAUCAGCCCAAGUGGGAUUAGCUAGUUGGUAAGGUAAUGGCUUACCAAGGCGACGAUCCGUAGCUGGUUUGAGAGGAUGAUCAGCCACACUGGGACUGAGACACGGCCCAGACUCCUACGGGAGGCAGCAGUGGGGAAUAUUGCACAAUGGGCGCAAGCCUGAUGCAGCCAUGCCGCGUGUGUGAAGAAGGCCUUCGGGUUGUAAAGCACUUUCAGUAAGGAGGAAAGGUUAAGUGUUAAUAGCACUUAGCUGUGACGUUACUUACAGAAGAAGCACCGGCUAACUCCGUGCCAGCAGCCGCGGUAAUACGGAGGGUGCGAGCGUUAAUCGGAAUUACUGGGCGUAAAGCGUACGCAGGCGGUUUGUUAAGCGAGAU
rnacentral:rRNA from 1 species